ensembl:lncRNA
UGUAAAUACUGCAAAUGUAAUUUAGUGGUAUCUUUGUACAUUGUUACUGUUAACACAAUGCUCUCAGGUAAAUAAGUAUUAUUUAACCAGUCAGAGAAGUCUGGAAUUUAAGUUUAAUAGUCUCCUAUAGUGCAAAAAAAAAAAAAAAAAAAAAAGCUUAUAGUGGCAUUCAUUUACAAAUAGUGAGGAUCCCAAAUGCCUUCCUUGAGACCAGGGCAGGAGCAAACUGGAUGUAACGUUUGUUAAAGCAGAAGGAACAGCGCAGCACAGACCCUGGUGAUCCAUUCUCUUUUGGUUACGGGGGAAGAAAACAAAGAUAGAAGAGGAGGGAGAGGGAAAAAAAAAAAAAAAAAAAAAAAAAAGGAAAACUUUUCCAAAUCCAGCAAACUUGUGCUAACUUCUUAUGAAUAUCUGUACAUAAAUGAUAAAAUAAUUGAAUUCAUGUUGUCAGGUCUUUUUUCCAAGUGAUGAAAAAGUGAUUGUACAGAAGCAUGUAGCAAAAACAAGGACGGCUUGGAACGACUAACAGAGCAACGUGAAACAGCUGAGCGACUCUUAGUAGAAACACAGCAGUAACAGCUUCCAUACCUGGCCUCACUGCUCUGAGAUUCUGUCUGGGUCACCCAAGGCUUGUCAAUAUCCACUGGUCAGUUUUGAUAUCAAGCAAUUUGUUGCCAGCUCUUCCACCACAACUGGUGCCAGGAUCUGCCACAGGGCAGCAGCCUGUGUUUUACAGGUACUGCAAUAGCGAGGGGACUGUCCAGCAUGUGCAGGCAGCACCACUGUCAUGAGACCUGAAUUUUUAGGACCAUUUGGAUUAUCGUUGUUAUCCUGUUAGCACCAAGAGAGAACGUGUGGCCGGGGGCGGCGCCGCGGAUUCGCGUCAGACCUAUCGGAGCAGUUGUUUCCGCGGUCUCUGCUGCCACCGCGCGGCCAAUCUGAGGAAGUGCGGCCGCCUAUUUUUUGGCGCCACAAGCAGCAGUACGCAUGCGCACCGCCGUGCCGCGUAUAUGUUCUCGUCGCUCUGCGCAGCUAAUCCGCCAGUCUUCUGUUUAGACCUCCAAGCAGUAGUGCGCAUGCGCCAGAAGACCAAUAGGACGGGUUUCUCCGAGGGUGCACGUGAGUAGUCGAUUCUUGGACAGCUGGCUCAGCGAUGCUCCUCCUGCUUCCAACCCAGGCUCCCCCUUGUCUAUUUCCUUGUGUGAGAAAUGCUUAAAGUCAAAGAUUCCUUGUUAGGUAAAGAUCAUAGUGAUAGCAGCAAAGAUUAUUCAUUAUUGCUAUAACGGGUGGAAAGACUGGAAACUUCCACUGCAAAAACACAAUACACCUCUCACAUGUGUGCAGUCUUGCAGACCCAGAGCAUCCAGGGUUGUUUCUGCUUUUGUAGUAUUUGCAUGCUGCAAGGUGAGCAAAAAGUUUUACUGCUUGAUUGUUUUUCUCCAAGUGCUGGCUACAACUAAAUGGCUGCAAGAAUUGAGGAUGUGAUAGAAAGCAUUUGUCUCCAUGACAACAUAGUUACAUUCAGUCCAAAAAGUGUGAGAGUCAGAUCGAAGUGGCAAAGCAAUGACUUGCUGGAGAUGAUGCAGUACUCAAAUGGUUAA